rnacentral:rRNA from 1 species
ACGGUCCAGACUCCUACGGGAGGCUGCAGUCGAGAAUCAUUGUCAAUGCACGAAAGUGUGAACAUGCGACGCCGCGUGGAGGAAGACGGCCUUCGGGUUGUAAACUCCUGUCAGCAGGAAGGAAUAAUCAGACAAUUAAUACUUGUUUGAUUUGACAGUACCUGCAGAGGAAGUCACGGCUAACUCUGUGCCAGCAGCCGCGGUAAUACAGAGGUGGCGAACGUUGUUCGGAUUUACUGGGCGUAAAGGGUCCGCAGGCGGUCUUGUGUGUCGGAUGUGAAAGCUCACGGCUCAACCGUGGAAUUGCAUUCGAAACUGCAAGACUAGAGUACUGGAGGGGAGAAGGGAACACUUGGUGUAGCGGUGAAAUGCGUAGAUAUCAAGUGGAACACCGGAGGCGAAGGCGCUUCUCUGGACAGAUACUGACGCUCAUGGACGAAAGUUAGGGUAGCGAAAGGGAUUAGAUACCCCUGUAGUCCUAACCGUAAACGGUGUGCGCUAGGCGUGGGUGGCUUUACCCCCAUCCGUGCCUGAGCUAACGCAUUAAGCGCACCGCCUGGGGAGUACGGUCGCAAGAUUAAAACUCAAAGGAAUUGACGGGGACCCGCACAAGCGGUGGAGCAUGCGGCUUAAUUCGAUGCAACGCGAAGAACCUUACCUGGGCUUGACAUAUAGCUGCAUACGACCCGAAAGGGACGUAGCCUUCGAGGGUGCUAUACAGGUGCUGCAUGGCUGUCGUCAGCUCGUGCCGUGAGGUGUUGGGUUAAGUCCCGCAACGAGCGCAACCCCUGUGAUUAGUUGCCAGCACGUAAUGGUGGGAACUCUAAUCAGACUGCUUGUGAAAACAAGAGGAAGGUGGGGAUGACGUCAAGUCAGUAUGGUCCUUAUGUCCAGGGCUGCACGCGUGCUACAAUGGGCAGUACAGUGGGAAGCAAUAUCGCGAGAUGGAGCAAAUCCUCAAAACUGCCCCCAGUUCGGAUUGGAGUCUGAAACUCGACUCCAUGAAGUCGGAAUCGCUAGUAAAGGCGUAUCAGCUACGACGCCUUGAAUACGUUCCCGGGUCUUGUACACACCGCCCGUCACAUCAUGGAAGUCUGUUGCACCCGAAAUCGUUGAUCCAACCCGUUAAGGGAGGAAGGCGCCUAAGGUGUGAUAGGUAACUGGGAUGAAGUCGUAACAAGGUAGCCGUUGGGGAACCAGUGGC